UUUUAUUUGAGAGUUUGAUCCUGGCUCAGGAUGAACGCUGGCGGCGUGCCUAACACAUGCAAGUUGAGCGAUUUACUUCGGUAAAGAGCGGCGGACGGGUGAGUAACGCGUGGGUAACCUACCCUGUACACACGGAUAACAUACCGAAAGGUAUGCUAAUACGGGAUAAUAUAUUUGAGAGGCAUCUCUUAAAUAUCAAAGGUGAGCCAGUACAGGAUGGACCCGCGUCUGAUUAGCUAGUUGGUAAGGUAACGGCUUACCAAGGCGACGAUCAGUAGCCGACCUGAGAGGGUGAUCGGCCACAUUGGAACUGAGACACGGUCCAAACUCCUACGGGAGGCAGCAGUGGGGAAUAUUGCACAAUGGGCGAAAGCCUGAUGCAGCAACGCCGCGUGAGUGAUGAAGGCCUUCGGGUCGUAAAACUCUGUCCUCAAGGAAGAUAAUGACGGUACU
rnacentral:rRNA from 1 species